rnacentral:rRNA from 1 species
UACGUAGGGGGCAAGCGUUGUCCGGAUUUAUUGGGCGUAAAGAGCGUGUAGGCGGCCGUACAGGUCAGCUGUGAAAACUCGAGGCUCAACCUCGAGACGUCGGUUGAAACCGUACGGCUAGAGUCCGGAAGAGGAGAGUGGAAUUCCCGGGUGUAGCGGUGAAAUGCGCAGAUAUCGGGAAGAACACCGGUGGCGAAGGCGGGUCUCUGGGCCGAUACUGACGCUGAGGAGCGAAAGCGUGGGGAGCGAACAGGAU